AUGGCUUUGCCACAAAUACGAUGUCAACUACAUGAUCAUGCAAGGCAAUAUGACAAUGAUGAUGCGUGUCAUAAUAAACGGAACGGUGGAAAGUUGCAUGGCAAUAUAUCUCGGAAUGGCUAUGGAAAUGCCAUAAUAGGUAGGUAUGGUGGCUGUUUUGAGGAAUAUAUAAGGAGGUUUAUGUGUGAUAGAGCGUAUUGUAUCACGUGGUUUGGAUGCACCGGCGAAGUUUGCACCAACUCUCAAGGUGAGAAAGGGCAAUGCAUGGUACCGAAGAGGCUAGCAAUGAUGGAAGGGUGA
rnacentral:rRNA from 1 species